CAGGAUAUAGCUCAAUUUGGUAGAGCGCCUAGUUUGGGGCUAGGAUAUUAUAGGUUCAAAUCCUAUUAUCCUGA
rnacentral:tRNA from 1 species